rnacentral:rRNA from 1 species
GAUGAACGCUGGCGGCGUGCUUAACACAUGCAAGUCGAGCGAGUGAGUUCUUCGGAACGAUCUAGCGGCGGACGGGUGAGUAACACGUGGGCAACCUACCUCAUAGAGGGGAAUAGCCUCCCGAAAGGGAGAUUAAUACCGCAUAAAAUUAUCGAGUAGCAUCACAUGAUAAUCAAAGGAGCAAUCCGCUAUGAGAUGGGCCCGCGGCGCAUUAGCUAGUUGGUGAGGUAACGGCUCACCAAGGCGACGAUGCGUAGCCGACCUGAGAGGGUGAUCGGCCACAUUGGGACUGAGACACGGCCCAGACUCCUACGGGAGGCAGCAGUGGGGAAUAUUGCACAAUGGGGGAAACCCUGAUGCAGCAACGCCGCGUGAGUGAUGAAGGUCUUCGGAUUGUAAAGCUCUGUCUUUGGGGACGAUAAUGACGGUACCCAAGGAGGAAGCCACGGCUAACUACGUGCCAGCAGCCGCCGUAACAC